CGCCCCACAGUGAGCACUGAUAAAGCAGCUGAGGCAAGCCUGAGAUUCGGCACUCUCUCUCCACCAGCAAUCAGGAGUCAGAGCAGUCACUAACCCAGCAAACAGGGCAGGAGCCACGAGAUGACGCAUGCGUGCGGCACUCCAUCCAGAACAACGAUGAUAUCUGUGAAGUGUCCUCCCCACGGAUCUGGGAGGCAGAGGGGAUCCCCAGCCACAUUUUGAAGCGAGGGGUCUGAGGUGGACAGGCGCGGGAAGACGCUGCCCAAGGCCACACAGAGAGAGAGAAGACUAGCAGGGGGAGCAGCAGAAGGAGAGGGAGAAGCAGGCUCCCCGCUGACCAGCAAGCUGGACUUGGGACUCCAGGAUCACAACCUGAGCAGAAAGCAGAUGCUUAACCAACUGAGCUACCCAGACACCCCUCAGUUUUCCAUUAUUUUUGAUAGACUUUCCCUUUAGCAGACAAAAGGGAAUCAUAUCUGGUUGGAAGAGUGACUGUGAGCCUACUGUGGAGUGGUCAGGUCUUCCUGCUUUAUGGAUAACAUCACCUUGAAAGUUCUAGGUGAUCACAUUGGAUGAGACCUGGAGAGGACGCAGACAGACAGCCUUCAUCAGAUUGAAUGUUGGCUUAGGUCUGUAUACCACCAAGCACUUGGCUAAAGAUGUGAAGUGUCCCUGAUUUGGUUGUUGAAAUUACGGUACAGAAUAAACAUUUAAAUUCUUGGAUUUUCCCUGAAUUUCCCUCCAGAUGUUUGGUGUGGUAUAGAUACCACAGUAAAUAAAUGUGUUUAAAAGUCCAGUAAAUGAGGCA
ensembl:lincRNA